AGCGAACGCUGGCGGCAGGCCUAACACAUGCAAGUCGAACAAACUCUUCGGAGUUAGUGGCGGACGGGUGAGUAACACGUGGGAACGUGCCUUUUGGUUCGGAAUAACUCAGGGAAACUUGUGCUAAUACCGAAUGUGCCCUUCGGGGGAAAGAUUUAUCGCCAUUAGAGCGGCCCGCGUCUGAUUAGCUAGUUGGUGAGGUAACGGCUCACCAAGGCGACGAUCAGUAGCUGGUCUGAGAGGAUGACCAGCCACACUGGGACUGAGACACGGCCCAGACUCCUACGGGAGGCAGCAGUGGGGAAUCUUGCGCAAUGGGCGAAAGCCAGACGCAGCCAUGCCGCGUGAAUGAUGAAGGUCUUAGGAUUGUAAAAUUCUUUCACCGGGGACGAUAAUGACGGUACCCGGAGAAGAAGCCCCGGCUAACUUCGUG
rnacentral:rRNA from 1 species